CCUAAAUCACUUAAAACCGUCACAGCUUUAAGGUUAGCUAUAAAAGAUAGUCUUAAAGAAGCUACAUUAGUUUGCACGACAGUCACUCUCUAGGAAAACCACGUUGGGACACAAAGACAGAAGUCUCAAAAUGAAGAAACGGUCCAUGGAGUUUAAUUCUGCCCUGAAUGUAUCGCCUAUCCCACGGCAGUUAUUCCAGUCACGGUUAGGCUUCUAUGCAUGCAUCUUUCCGUCGAAGAAAAAAAAAAAAAAAAAGCCUGUCAAUCUGCUUUCUAUCAGUGCCACACACGGUCCUAAAAGGCGUCGUGACUUACUGUAUUUUCUUGGUCCUUGUCGGCCAGGUGUCGGUUGUUGCACCGUCAAAACCGCUCUGGUUUAAUGUCAACCCCGUCGGAAAUAAUGUUGGUAAAGUUUGUUUUCUGCUCUCCGCCGCUCCCUUCAUUCACAAAGCAGCACUUUCUCCCCCCCGGACUGUGGGCGGUCAGACUGACUGAGGGGGAAGAUGCCUGCCAGGGGAAGCUCUCUCUCUUUUUUUCAACGGCUCAGUACACCAUUGAGCCAUCCACAGCUGAAGUCUCGCUGAAGAUACAACACAGUAAACCCUACGAAACGACUCAAGAGAGCAAAAUAACACGGCGGCCUUAAGUUCAUCCGAAGAAGCCUUGUAAAAGACCUGAAGAGGGCCCCUGACCCCACUGUGAAUUAGGGGAGAGCGGCUUCAGUGGUAACUCUUCAAUGAUCAGAGUCCCGCUCAACAUCAGAUUAUUAUUCAAACCUACAAUAACAUAAUUUGGCUACUUGGGGGCAGUGGAAACAAUUUGUGAACACAACAUUGACUUACCAUCACCUUGUACUGUGUUCCUGGUUACCUGAUGAAUGCUGUACAUCGCUGGGAUACAUCAAGAGAUGGUGGGAACCUGUCACUUGACAAAAGAUACGUCGUCAUUCAUGCCAUGACCUCAAUGAAAGUUUGCAUAACGGAGGAAGAUUUUGUGACAGUGUCCACUAGCGUGUGCAAUGACCUUGAUGCCCAGCUUGGCAGCAAUCGAGUGACAACAUACCUGAAGGUACACUGGCUUCCACAUGUAGCACUAUGGGCCAAUUUUGGACGGCUGUUCGAGCACAACAGCAGUGACACCAACAACAAGGCAGAGAGUUAUCAUUUCCAAAGUUUCCGAGAUCACAAUCCUAUCUCCCUAACACUGACUACCUGGACGAGUUGGCAGAUGCAGGAAAAUUGAGGGUCUCCUCGUCAGCAUCAACAUCUACAGCAGCCAAGAACACAGUGGGACAGCAGAUCCUGAUAAAUGAGCAAGGAAAGGGCUCUGUGCAAACAGGGGCAGACCCCAACUCCUAUUCAACCAUGAACACUGUGGAUCUAGUCAGGUUGCAGUGUGACUGUGGAUUGUAUGAUAAGGGAAAUGUAUGCACACAUAUUGCAUCAGCAUACACUGAAAUGUGUUGAUAUUGCACAGCUACGUGCUCACAUGGCUAGAGAUAUUGUUGCCAAAAAACAAUACCACGUUGAUGGUGAUUUCAUCACUGUUCACCCCACUGAUGUAAGUGCCACAUUUGUAUUUACUGCCUUUUGUACCUGUGCUGUCAACAGUUACGGUCAAAAGUGUGUGUGCUUACAUGUUGUUGACUGCCUGCAAACCACCAACAAUACACAUUCUACAUGUCCCACUGCUGGAAGCAAAAAUUAGUUUGGGCCAACAAAUGUCAAUGCACAAGUUCAACUUCAGUCCAUGUUGACAGAUUUAUUGGAGUGGAGCAAAUCAGAAAGUUACAUGUAUAGUAAUGACUUGUACACAACAGUGAAGAGGGCACACACAGUGGCCUUCAAUCGUUUUGGCAUUGUGUCAAGAAAACGAAAAAUACAUGCACUUCAUGCUUAUUGCCAGCGGAUUGAGCAAGCCAAACGAGAGCUUUACAAAAAGCGCAAAACAAGAAGAUUCAAGUGAUAAAUAAUCCAAUAAAUAGAUGUAACCAAAAAAUAUUGUUUAAUAGCAUUUUUUAGCUGUGGCUUCACUGUGAUUUAACAGUGUACAGUGAACAGUUUGCUGCACAUAGCAUAACUUUAUUUCCGUUACAGUGCCAUAAUUCAAUUUUCAAGAGCCCUUGUUUUUGCAACAAGGCACUCUCUAAUGAUCUGAAAUACAACCUGGCAUACUUGGGGUCCAAGUGUGUGUGUGUGAUCUUGGAAUAGCUGCCCAUGUUUUUGGUCAACACUUUUUCGACUCUGUCAAGUUCAGCACUGUAAACAAACAAAUAAUCC